rnacentral:tRNA from 1 species
UCCUGGUUAGCUCAGUUGGUAGAGCACUCCACUGGAAAUGGAGAGGUCCCGGGUUCGAUACCAGGACCAGGCA